rnacentral:lncRNA from 1 species
UUUGACGAGAUGGAUUUUUUUUAUUCAUUCAGCCAAAGUAUUGAAAAAAACUUCCAGCUAGACGCUCUUUUUCUAGAGUAGUUUCUGAAAAAAUAAUUUUGAGCAGAUGAUUCUGAAAAAAUAGGGUCAAAAACGCUUCAAGCAGGAUGCACUGUCAGCAAAAGUACUGAAAAAAGCUCCCACCUCGAUGCUCUCUUUCCAUAGUAGUUUCUUUAAAAAUAAUUUUGAGAAGAUUGUUCUAAAAAAAUAGGGUAGAAAAAGCUUCAAACAGGAUGCACUGUCAACAAAAGUACUGAAAAAAGCUCCCACUUGGA